GAUGAACGCUGGCGGCGUGCCUAAUACAUGCAAGUAGAACGCUGAAGCUUGGUGCUUGCACCGAGCGGAUGAGUUGCGAACGGGUGAGUAACGCGUAGGUAACCUGCCUCUUAGCGGGGGAUAACUAUUGGAAACGAUAGCUAAUACCGCAUAAAAGUCGACAUCGCAUGAUGUUGACUUGAAAGGUGCAAUUGCAUCACUAAGAGAUGGACCUGCGUUGUAUUAGCUAGUUGGUGAGGUAACGGCUCACCAAGGCGACGAUACAUAGCCGACCUGAGAGGGUGAUCGGCCACACUGGGACUGAGACACGGCCCAGACUCCUACGGGAGGCAGCAGUAGGGAAUCUUCGGCAAUAGGGGCAACCCUGACCGAGCAACGCCGCGUGAGUGAAGAAGGGUUUCGGAUCGUAAAGCUCUGUUGUAAGAGAAGAACGAGUGUGAGAGUGGAAAGUUCACACUGUGACGGUAACUUACCAGAAAGGGACGGCUAACUACGUG
rnacentral:rRNA from 1 species